GGUAAACGCUGGCGGCGUGCCUAAAACAUGCAAGUCGAACGGUCCAGCUUGCUGGACAGUGGCAGACGGCUGAGUAACGCGUGGGUGACACACCCGUUGGUGGGGAAUAACUGCCCGAAAGGGUGGCUAAUACCGCAUACGCUCGUCGGACCAAUCCGAUGGGGAAAGUCGCAAGACGCCGAUGGACUGGCCCGCGUUCGAUUAGCUUGUUGGUGGGGUAACGGCCUACCAAGGCGACGAUCGAUAGCUGGUCUUAGAGGAUGAUCAGCCAGACUGGGACUGAGACACGGCCCAGACUCCUACGGGAGGCAGCAGUUAGGAAUUUUGGGCAAUGGGCGAAAGCCUGACCCAGCAACGCCGCGUGGGUGACGAAGGCCUUCGGGUUGUAAAGCCCUUUUCUGAGGGAAGAUAGUGACGGUACCUCAGGAAUAAGCACCGGCUAACUACGUGC
rnacentral:rRNA from 1 species